GAUGAAGAACGCAGCGAAAUGCGAUAAGUAGUGUGAAUUGCAGACUUUAGUGAAUCAUCGAAUCUUUGAACGCACAUUGCACCUCUCGGUAUUCCGGGAGGUAUGCCUGUUCGAGCGUCAUUUGUACCCUCAAGCUCUGCUUGGUGUUGGGUGUUUGUUCCGCCUCUGUGUGUGAACUCGCCUCAAAACAAUUGGCAGCCGGCGUACUUGUUUCGGAGCGCAGCACAUUUUGCGAUCCAGAUCAACGUACAGCGGCAUCCAAGAAGCCUUAUUUAACGCUCUUGACCUCGGAUCAGGUAGGGAUACCCGCUGAACUUAAGCAUAUCAAUAAGCGGAGGA
rnacentral:misc_RNA from 1 species